GUGAUUUGUGGUGCUCUCUGUGGAAAAGUCUUUUGUCACUUUACAUCAAAUUGUCAAUCAUUUAAUUCAAUUGAAAGCUCAGUCAUCCUUCCAUGUUGGUUUCAAAUGACAAGGCAAAAAAUACAGAUAAACCAUUUGAUGUAGCUCUUCAUAUUCUUGCUCCUGAAUUUAGCAUCCACAAGGGAAAUAGGAGUCAUGGUGAACAUGAAUGAGGCGUCGUGUGAUAAUCCUUAUUGCCAUAUGAUCACCAACGCAUGUAACAAACGAUGCUACAACGAAUCAUUCAGUAGCCCAAUGCCAAUGAUUGGUAUCUAUGUAGCAGCAGCAUCUCUACUUUGUAUCCUUGCUAUGGCUGCUGAUGCUUUCCAAGCCUUCUGCGUAAAGAGACUUUGGUUCCCAUGCAAAUUCUUUGCUCUGAAUGCUGCUUCUCUUACAGUGUUAGCUGUAGCAAUGAAGUUGCCUGUCGAGAUAUCUGAACCGAUGCCAGGUGUUACUGACCAGCUAUCCAAACUGGCCAGUACUGCUGUCAUGUGUGUUGUAAUAGGUAACUGCAUGCCAUCAAUAGGAGCCAUGAGGAACAAAGAAAUCCUGUCGAACGUUGUAGCUCUGGACAUCCUGGUAAUCACAAUCAUUGUCAAUCUAUGCAUUGAAAUACAUACUGGCUUGAUUUUUAACCUGAAAUAUGAAUUUAUAGCAACUAUAUUCCUCAUGUUUCUUCUGAUAUUGGUACUGAGUUUCUCCUCUUUAACACUUGCAACCACCAAAAAAAUUCUUGAACUUAACUACGAAGAAGCAUAUCAAAUUACCUUGAGGAAUGAUGCACUAGCAUUCGGAAGGUUGUCCAUCGAUAGACUGAGAGACACUGUGGAGAAGUGUUGGAUGAUGGUCGAAACUAGUAACCCUCAAUUUGUGAUGGCACGUUCUGUAACCCUUUCGACUUCAGGGACAAUCUGUGUGUUGGCAUCUCUAAUUUUGAUGGAAGCUCUUAUAAGAAUAUACAAUUCACCUCCAUAUUUUCCCAAUAGUUCAACAUACAAAUGGACAACAAGCUUAAUUCUUAUUGUUCAGUCUAUUGGGGUGGUGCUCCAGCACUCAGAUGGUUUAUCUGUAUAAGCUUUAAGCGUUCCAACAAAACAGGCAAUGCCAAUGCUAAUUUCUUUAAAGUCGAAGACUACUGGAUCCGAAAGCUGAUUGAGUGGAAGGAGAGACCAUUGUCUUUAAACAUCAGGGGAACAAAAUUUAGAAAAUAUCUCCAAGGUACAAGACACUUAAUUCUUGCCUUCUGCAUAAGAAGUCAGAUUCUGGUUGUGUCAACGAGCAAAUUUGUGCGGUUUGUCUCAGUUGUUUCCUUCAACUUGAUGUUUUUGUGUCAACUUCAGGGCCCAAACUAUCAUCAAUCAGAACCAGAACACAGAAGAGAGACUGAAUUGCACCACCAUGUUCUGUUACUAGAAGGAGAAGAAGAACUUCCUGAAAGAAUCUUUAAGAAUAUAUCUGGUAAUGCAAACCGACUAGUAAACACAGGAAGGAAACGACAGCCAAAACAACUGGUUAAUUUGUUAAGAAAAUCUAGCAGCUUUUCUGGGGUGGCAGAUAUUUACUGCCACCAAGUUCCAGUACUGCAUUCAGUAGAACCUUCAAACUGCUGGACCUUAAGCUUAGUGACACUCACUAGCAUUACUGUUGCACUCCCCAAAGUGAGAGAUCAGAUGGACUAUCAGCUGAUAAGGAGUGUCCAUGAAGGUCCUACAUACGCCAGCUUCAUAGAGGAAACUAUGUACCCUGAAGGUGAGUUCAGAAACAUUAGAAAUGCAGCACAUAUAGUGUGGGAAGAACUGGAGAUCCAUCAAAAAUGGUUGGAUGAGGACUUGCAGAAACCGACCCUCGAAGGAAAAACUCCUAAGGAAACACUUGAGAUGCUUACAGGAAUAGCUUCAAAGAAGGUGAUGGAUUUCAAACAAACCACUGAUGGAAGAAUGCUCGAUAACCCUCUCAACUGGCCAGUCAGAAUAAUAGCUGCCAACUCAAUGUAUAAAAUUGGGAAAGCUAUCUUGCUGUUGCUGCAUAGUGAAGGACACAAUGACUUGGUUGAUGAAAAACUAUUCAAGAGAUUAUCCAUUACAAUAGCAGAUAUACUAAGUGCUUGCUUUACUAAUCUUCCACGAGCUAUAACUAUGGCUUGUAAUUCUGGUGCCAUUGAGGAGAGGGAAAAAAGUGUGCACAGAGCAGCUUUAUUAGUUGGUAAAACCGAAGAGAUCUUGAAGAUAAUUCAACAUCAUGAACUUCCAAAUAUAAAUGCUGAUUAAUCAGCUUAUAUUGAUCAGUGGAACCUUACACGCCAGCCAACAAACCUUGUUCCUGUCAUCCCUUUCGAUAGUGACAUACCGAUAUGAGCUAUAUACCUAAUCGAGAGCCAUCAUAUUCAGAUGGUAAGUUACAUAUCAUGAGCUACCAUAUGAGUAGCAAUGUAUACAUAA